rnacentral:rRNA from 1 species
GCCGUUAAGUCUUGACGAGUAAGAGGGUCGCGACGGUGAGCGCAGAAGGGUCAGGGCGAGAGCCUGCCUGGAGCCGCCGUUGGUGCAGAUCUUGGUGGUAGUAGCAAAUACUCUAGCGAGGGCCUGGAGGACUGACGUGGAGAAGGGUUUCUUGUGAACAGCCGUUGCACAAGAGUCAGUCGACCCUGAGCCCUAGGAGAAAUCCGAUGACGAUGGGUGGCUUGACAACAUAACAAUCCACAGACUGUUUCAAGCGUAAACUGACAAUAAGUUGACACUGAACAGCUCCUAUCGGGCAAAAGGGAAUCCGGUUCCUAUUCCGGAACCCGGCUGCGUAACCGCCACUUUGCGGGCACUUGCUUGCGAGCGCUCGUCGGGGUAACCCAAACUGGCCUGGAGACGCCGGCGGGGGGUCUGGAAAGAGUUUUCUUUUCUUUAUAAGCGUUCGAGUACCCUGGAAUCCUAUAGCAGGGAGAUAGGGUUUGGAACGCGAAGAGCACCGCAGUUGCGGCGGUGUCCGGACCUUCCCCCCGGACCUUGAAAAUCCAGGUGAGGGCCACGCGGAAGUCGCGCCGG